rnacentral:rRNA from 1 species
UUCAACCGCAAAACAAGCAGAGGGGGCUUAGUGGUGGGGUGACUGCGUACCUUUUGUAUAAUGGGUCAGCGACUUAUAUUCUGUAGCAAGGUUAACCGAAUAGGGGAGCCGGAGGGAAACCGAGUCUUAAUUGGGCGUUAAGUUGCAGGGUAUAGACCCGAAACCCGGUGAUCUAGCCAUGGGCAGGUUGAAGGUUGGGUAACACUAACUGGAGGACCGAACCGACUAAUGUUGAAAAAUUAGCGGAUGACCUGUGGCUGGGGGUGAAAGGCCAAUCAAACCGGGAGAUAGCUGGUUCUCCCCGAAAGCUAUUUAGGUAGCGCCUCGUGAAUUCAUCUCCGGGGGUAGAGCACUGUUUCGGCUAGGGGGCCAUCCCGGCUUACCAACCCGAUGCAAACUGCGAAUACCGGAGAAUGUUAUCACGGGAGACACACGGCGGGUGCUAACGUCCGUCGUGAAGAGGGAAACAACCCAGACCGCCAGCUAAGGUCCCAAAGUCAUGGUUAAGUGGGAAACGAUGUGGGAAGGCCCAGACAGCCAGGAUGUUGGCUUAGAAGCAGCCAUCAUUUAAAGAAAGCGUAAUAGCUCACUGGUCGAGUCGGCCUGCGCGGAAGAUGUAACGGGGCUAAACCAUGCACCGAAGCUGCGGCAGCGAACGUAUCACCCAAGACAACUUUACGGAGUUGACGAUUGACGGAGCGAAGCGACGUCAAAGCGUUCAUUAAAGUCGAGUUGGCUUAGGGAUACGUUCGUUGGGUAGGGGAGCGUUCUGUAAGCCUGUGAAGGUGUGUCGUGAGGCAUGCUGGAGGUAUCAGAAGUGCGAAUGCUGACAUAAGUAACGAUAAAGCGGGUGAAAAGCCCGCUCGCCGGAAGACCAAGGGUUCCUGUCCAACGUUAAUCGGGGCAGGGUGAGUCGACCCCUAAGGCGAGGCCGAAAGGCGUAGUCGAUGGGAAACGGGUUAAUAUUCCCGUACUUGGUGUUACUGCGAAGGGGGGACGGAGAAGGCUAUGUUGGCCGGGCGACGGUUGUCCCGGUUUAAGCGUGUAGGUGUGUGUUCCAGGUAAAUCCGGUUCACUUUAACACUGAGGCGUGACGACGAGG